rnacentral:rRNA from 1 species
GACGAACGCUGGCGGCGUGCUUAACACAUGCAAGUCGAACGGAAAGGCCCUGCUUUUGUGGGGUGCUCGAGUGGCGAACGGGUGAGUAACACGUGAGUAACCUGCCCUUGACUUUGGGAUAACUUCAGGAAACUGGGGCUAAUACCGGAUAGGAGCUCCUGCUGCAUGGUGGGGGUUGGAAAGUUUCGGCGGUUGGGGAUGGACUGGCGGCUUAUCAGCUUGUUGGUGGGGUAGUGGCUUACCAAGGCUUUGACGGGUAGCCGGCCUGAGAGGGUGACCGGCCACAUUGGGACUGAGAGACGGCCCAGACUGCUACGGGAGGGAGCAGGGGGGAAUAUUGCACAAUGGGCGGAAGCCUGAUGCAGCAACGCCGCGUGCGGGAUGACGGCCUGCGGGUUGUAAACCGCUUUCGCCUGUGACGAAGCGUGUGUGACGGUAAUGGGUAAAGAAGCACCGGCUAACUACGUG